rnacentral:rRNA from 1 species
CCUACGGGAGGCAGCAGUGAGGAAUAUUGGUCAAUGGCCGGGAGGCUGAACCAGCCAAGUCGCGUGAGGGAAGACGGCCCUACGGGUUGUAAACCUCUUUUGUCAGGGAGCAAGGUGCAGGUCGGGACCUGCUGUGAGAGUACCUGGAGAAAAAGCGUCGGCUAACUCCGUGCCAGCAGCCGCGGUAAUACGGAGGAUGCGAGCGUUAUCCGGAUUUAUUGGGUUUAAAGGGUGCGCAGGCGGAGGCACAAGUCAGCGGUAAAAUCGCGGGGCUCAACCCCGCUCCGCCGUUGAAACUGUGUGCCUUGAGUGCGCGAAGGGCAGGCGGAAUGCGUGGUGUAGCGGUGAAAUGCAUAGAUAUCACGCAGAACUCCGAUCGCGAAGGCAGCCUACCGGCGCGCAACUGACGCUCAUGCACGAAAGCGUGGGUAUCGAACAGGAUUAGAUACCCCAGUAGUC